rnacentral:rRNA from 1 species
UACGUAGGGCGCAAGCGUUGUCCGGAAUUAUUGGGCGUAAAGAGCUCGUAGGCGGCCUGUUACGUCUGCUGUGAAAUCCCGGGGCUUAACCCCGGGCGUGCAGUGGAUACGGGCAGGCUGGAGGCAGGCAGGGGAGAACGGAAUUCCCGGUGUAGCGGUGAAAUGCGCAGAUAUCGGGAGGAACACCGGUGGCGAAGGCGGUUCUCUGGGCCUGUACUGACGCUGUAGAGCGAAAGCGUGGGGAGCGAACAGG